rnacentral:rRNA from 1 species
GACGAACGCUGGCGGCGCGCCUAACACAUGCAAGUCGAACGAGCGAGAGAGAGCUUGCUUUCUCGAGCGAGUGGCGAACGGGUGAGUAACGCGUGAGGAACCUGCCUCAAAGAGGGGGACAACAGUUGGAAACGACUGCUAAUACCGCAUAAGCCCACGGCUCGGCAUCGAGCAGGGGGAAAAGGAGUAAUCCGCUUUGAGAUGGCCUCGCGUCCGAUUAGCUAGUUGGUGAGGUAAUGGCCCACCAAGGCAACGAUCGGUAGCCGGACUGAGAGGUUGAACGGCCACAUUGGGACUGAGACACGGCCCAGACUCCUACGGGAGGCAGCAGUGGGGGAUAUUGGACAAUGGGGGCAACCCUGAUCCAGCGACGCCGCGUGAGGGAAGAAGGUUUUCGGAUUGUAAACCUCUGUUGACGGAGAAAAAAUGAUGGUAUCCGUUUAGAAAGCCACGGCUAACUACGUG